CAGGCCGAGCUCAGCCUCGAGCUCACCCUGGCCGCCGACGUGGGUGUGGUGCCGGCGGAGGCAGGCUUUUUCCUCUGCGUCUACUGCUACCGCAGGUUCCGCACCUCGCAGGCACUCGGCGGCCACCAAAACGCGCACAAGCAAGAGCGCGCCGUCGCUAAGCGACGCCGGGAUGCCGCCGCCGCAAUGCGCCCCUCCCCUGCCAGGAAGGCUGCUGCUCGAAUGCCGGAGGAGCCUGCUGGUGGUGUCAUGGCGCACAAGGACGGCAGCAGCUGCCGGGAGAGCGACCCCGAGCUGGACUUGUCUCUCCGUCUGUAA
rnacentral:rRNA from 1 species